rnacentral:siRNA from 1 species
GGAAUGUUUUGGUUGCUUUUGG